rfam:Ignavibacteria bacterium RIFCSPLOWO2_12_FTLL_56_21 rifcsplowo2_12_scaffold_994, whole genome shotgun sequence.
GGUCAAGUCCUGUGCAACGGAACGUUGCCUAACCCCGCCAGGUCCGGAAGGAAGCAACGGUCGGCAAAAGGUCCUGUGUGACGCAGGGAAGCUUGACCUCU